UACGGGGGGGGCAAGCGUUGUUCGGAAUUACUGGGCGUAAAGGGCUCGUAGGCGGCCAACUAAGUCAGACGUGAAGUCCCUCGGCUUAACCGGGGAACUGCAUCUGAUACUGGAUGGCUUGAGAUUGGGAGAGGGAUGCGGAAUUCCAGGUGUAGCGGUGAAAUGCGCAGAUAUCAGGAGGAACACCGGUGGCGAAGGCGGUUCUCUGGGCAUUCCCUGACGCUGAGGAGCGAAAGUGUGGGGAGCGAACAGG
rnacentral:rRNA from 1 species